rnacentral:rRNA from 1 species
ACUGAGAUACGGCCCAGACUCCUACGGGAGGCAGCAGUAGGGAAUAUUCCACAAUGGACGAAAGUCUGAUGGAGCGACACAGCGUGCAGGAUGAAGGCCCUAUGGGUUGUAAACUGCUGUGGUUAGGGAAGAAAAAGUAGCGUAGGAAAUGACGCUACCUUGACGGUACCUGAUUAGAAAGCAACGGCUAACUAUGUGCCAGCAGCCGCGGUAAUACAUAGGUUGCAAGCGUUAUCCGA